rnacentral:misc_RNA from 1 species
AUAUCGUGCCACCGCUCGUCGUGCGCCCAUGAGCGGUCCGUGACAGGGAGGAGGGGGCAAACACAACAAGAGCACCCGAUUUCUCUCGUCGGCAAUUCCGCCGUUUCUCCCCACCGGAUCUGCCUCGCCGCCGCAUCCAGCCGCGCUUCACUUGUCAAAGUCGCAUCCCUUCACACUUUUGGAGGCUGCUCCAGCCUCACGCUUAACUAGGUGGUGCGACCCGUACCACCUUUCUUUUUUUUCCGCGGCUUUCUGCAUCUCCUCGUCGUCUUUUCUGUUUCUUGCAGCACUGCAAUGGUGGCCGAGGUGGACGUGAGCGGUAUUACCGUGUCUUUCCCCUUCGAACCGUAUCCAGCACAGGUGGAGUUCAUGCGCAGCGUCGUGAAGUGCCUCCAGCACGGCUUCAACGGGUUGUUGGAGUCCCCCACCGGUACUGGCAAGACGCUCUGCUUGCUGUGUAGCACGCUUGGCUGGCUUGCGGCAACCUCGCAAGGUGCAGUCCUUCGGCACACUAGCGACCAAGAUCAGAAAGGUCGCGGUAAGUACAACCACAAGGUGGUGUACUGCAGCCGAACGCACGCUCAGCUGACGCAGGUGGUGCGUGAGCUGAAGCGCACGUCGUAUGCACAGUGCUUCACCAUGGCCGUCCUGGGCUCUCGUGAGCACAUGUGCUUGAACAAAGAGGUGACGCGGCUCCCGUCGUCGCAGGCGCAGCACGCCAUGUGCAGUGCGCUUCGGUCGGAGCGCAACUGCCGCUUCUUCCGCGGUUUGCUGUCUGCGGCCGCUGGCGCCAGCCUUUUGUCCCCUGAAUGCGCGGUGCACGACAUGGAGGACUUGAUGCGAGAGGGAAGCCGAAGCGGGUUCUGCCCAUACUUCCACGAGCGUGACGCGGCGAAGGACGCGGACGUUGUACUCAUGCCGUACAACUACGUCCUUGACCCGUCCCUGCACAAGCAGCUGCCCUUUGAGCUGGCGGACUGUAUUCUCAUUGUGGACGAGGCGCACAACCUGCCCUCCGUGCUCAGCAGCUCGGGUUGUCAGACGUUGUCGCCGCUAGACGUGACCACCGCCAUCCACGACUGCUCACGGGCCAUCGCAAUGCAUCGCCUCACCACAAAGGGGGCAGAGCUGGACGAGGACGUGGCGGCGGAAGACGAGCAGGAGCUGGCGUCGCUGAAGAUUCUGCUGAGCAGGCUAGAGAUGUGCGUGUACGCGGAGCCUAUGACAGAGGCGACGGCGGCGCCCACGCCGACGCAGUGCGAUGUGGUGCGGGAUGGUUCGUACAUGUUCGUUUUCUUGGAGAAGGCCUUUAUCACUCGCGAGGUCUUUGGGGCGCAGUCGGACGGCGUCACCUCGGCGUCGGGGCUAGCAGGGACGAUGGGGAAGUGCGUGACGCUUCUGGCGGAUAGCGAGCGACCCGCAACGAGCAUGGCGCGAGUGCAGGAGUUUCUCACGCGUGUCUUCGCCUUUGAUAUGGCCCAUCUCGACUCCACCAGGUUUGUGCUGCAGCAGCAUCUCGUCGCUGCCAAGGCCGCCCGCACACUCGGCUUCUGGGAGCUGGAUAACACGCGCUUGAUGCGGCAGGUCGUGUUGCCGCUGCAUUCGGUUCUGCUCACGAGCGGCACGCUGUCUCCGCUUGACCAGUUCGCGGCGGAGCUGGGCAUGGAGUUUCAGGUGCGCCUGAAGGGAAAUCACGUGAUCCAGCCAGAUCAAGUGCUCGGCGGGGUCCUCUGCCGCGGGCCGAGCGGCGAGAAGCUGAAUGGCGGCUUUUCGUUCCGCAGCAGCGUGGACUACCGCGUAGGUCUCGGCAUGAGUCUCGCCAACAUCGCUCGCAACACACCUGGCGGCACUCUUGUCUUCUUCCCCAGUUAUGCCUCUAUGAACUCUGUGGUCGAGCUGUGGCAGGCGGGGAGCGGGCGUGCAGGGGACACCAAAACAGUGUGGGGCAUGCUGUCGGAGCUAAAGCCGAUCUUCGUGGAGCCGAGCAACUCCAACGACUUGCCAACCAUCGUACAGAGCUUCCAAAAAGAAGUGGACACGUCACCCCUCCGCGGCGCGAUUCUGCUGGCGGUGUGCCGUGGCAAGAUCAGCGAGGGCAUCGACUUUGCCGACAACCACGGCCGCUGCGUGCUCGUCGCGGGCAUCCCGUACGCCAACCACACCGACCUCUUCGUUCGCCUUAAGCGCGACUACAUCACAUCCGUGGCGCCGCAGCGGCCCCUGGUGCAUGGAAAGCUAUUCACGGGCGACGACUGGUACCGGAAUGAGGCGAUGCGGGCCGUCAACCAGUGCGUCGGCCGCGUGAUUCGGCACAAGGACGACUACGGCGUUGUCCUGCUCGCUGAUGAGCGCUUCGAGGGACUGCUGGGUAGCGUGUCGGAGUGGGUGCAGCGGCGCACGCGUGUCUUUUCCGACUUCCGCGGCGCCUACGCUGCCGUUGCGCAGUUUUUUGGCGGCCGGCGCCAUCGCGCGACUGAGACGGCUGCCAUUCCAUAUGUGUUGAUCGAGAACGGUGCAAACGCCGCAGCCGAGCUGCCGUCCACUGCGACGCUCGCGAGGCUGUACGCAGAUGCGCAGGCGCGUCAGCGCGAAGAGCAUGUGCAAGAGACACGCCGACGUCGCUUCGAGGAAGUGCGCGAGGCCAAGGCCAGCGCGUGCAACAAUGCCGUCGCGUCCGCGACGUCGCCGUUUGCACCUGCGUCGUUUGCCGGGUGUUCAACGACGGGCCGCGCUGGUGGGACCCCUGCGAUCCCGCAGCGAACCUCUGCGGAGACACCGGAGGCGACAGUGGUGUCAUCGGAGCGAGAGACGGCGGGCAUGCGCGAUACCGGGCAGAUGGGGCAGCCGGACGGGCCUCCAAAGCUCGGGCCUACGUCAAAGGAGUUCUGCGAGUUUCUCAAGGCACGCGUGCCAGUAGAGGCGUAUCAUCGCUUCAAGAUGGUGUUGGCCCAGCUGGCGACCCUCCGCCCGCUUCUGCGAACAUCGCCGACGGCAGCCGCGGAUGGACUCGCAAGGCUUCUCGUGCCGUUGCGGUCCGUCUUUGGCGCCACAGACGUUGAGUACCAUCACAGUCUCUUUGCUGAGUUCGGCCGCCACAUACCUGAGGAAUUUCGGCCACUCUACGCGGACCUCCUCAAAUCCAACGGGCUGAUGUGAGUACACACCAGGAGGGGGAGGGGUGAGGCGUGUUAACCUGCCGCCUUCUUCUCGACUUAGUGCUUCUGAGAGGGCGCAUGCGUGGCUUUUUUUUCUGUUGUUGUUUUGUCCGAAUGCAAUGCGUGUGCUGCAAACGGGCUGCGCGCCGCUUCCACCGCCCUGCCGUCGUCUCUCUGCCGCCUCCGACCUCGUGCAUGCACUUGCCCACACAC